UUCUCCCCCUUCUCCAGGCCCCACCCGACCAUCUGCCACAAGGCCGACAUUUCCUGCACUCCAGCUGCCAGGCCGGAGUUUAUUCUAUUCCUGCUUUUCUGGGGAUAACAGGAUGAAAGGAUCCCAUUCAUCCAUCGCCCCCUCCCUCCCUCUUUCCUUUAUUUAAUCUCCCGGGAAACAAGCAAGUUUGAGGCAAAAAGAGAAUGCCGCAUAAACACGCAUGCUGUUCUCGCGCCAAGCGUCCACACGCGGGAAAGAUAUCUGGAUGGCAGACAUGAUGGGGUGAACGGGCCUGAUGAGCCAGAUUGGAGUCUUUAUCAGAUUACAGACCCUAUUAAACGAUCUGCACAGCAGCAGUGCCGGAUGAGUGUCAUCUCACUGCAGCAUUGGAUGUGAUUGUAUCUCAACCUUACCAGAGAGGGAAUAAUAAGUGAGAUUGAGAUUCACCGUUCGCUGCCGCCAUCAGAGCCUGGAGCUGUUCAGCUUCGGUAGGGGGGUUGGGCCACGGUCCUGUUCCUGCGAUCACACCAGCGCCGGCACCUGCCUCAUCAGGACGAGCUCCAGCCCUACAUGACAGAGAACAGGACUGGACAGCAUGUCGCUGGAAGCUGCAGGACACAUAAUCUGAUAGACCUAAACACAACAUUCCACUAGAAGGCUACACCAGGUGAAGUCAAACGCUACCACACACUAGCCUUCUCUUCGCCUUCACUCUACCUGGACUUCUCGUAUGGAGUCCAUCUCUGCUGCAGGGUGUGGAACCUGUGUUGGCUGAAACAUAAGCACAGGAGCAUGCAGCUGUCACUCAAUCACCCUGCGUCUGACCAGAGACUGACCAGAGCACAUGGAUGAGUGAGAAAGUCUUUGGGGUUCCUUUACCUUUAAACCUUAUAUAUUCUUAAGAUGUUGUGUCUCACAGGAAGUUGGUUCGCAUUUUUAUCUGAUGAUUGCUGUCAUCCCAUGUUUGAUGUAUUUGCGGGGAUUUUUCCCCAUAUGAUUUCUUUUGCAGGAUAUUCUUCACAUAAUUUGUUUUGUAGGAUUUUAUUUUUUGGAGGACUUUAUUUCUUUUGCUGAAUUUCUUUACAGGGUUUAUUUUUGCAUGAUUAUAGUAAAUUGUCACUGACAUUUUUAAUAUUCAUAAAAUGUCGAUAAUGGGCUAAAAUAUAGAAUUGAAAACACUUAAGGUAGGAAAAUUAGUAAAUUAUUUCAGACUCUAAUCUAGAUACUUUGGUAUUGGUUGAUUUUAAAUAUAAAUAUUGUUUUUUCUUCUUGCUGACUAAAUGCAGAAGACAGUGACCAUCAAAAAAUUAGCCACUCAAGUAUUUACAGGUAAUCUCAGAUUUUGAAAACACUGAAGGAAUGAACAUUACUUAAUUACUGCAUUUUCUAAUCUAGAUAUUUUGGUAUUUGCAAGACUCCACCCCAUGUUAUCCCUUUCGCUUGCUGAAAAAUGUAUUAAUAUUUUUGUUUUUUCUCAUAUCUAUUACUGUAAUGUUUUACUUGCUGGGAUUUCUAAAACCACCUUAAGUAAACUGCAGUUUGUUCAAAAUUCAGCUGCUAGAAUCCUGACAAGGACCGGGACAAAUGAGCACAUCUCUCCAGUUUUAGAGUCAUUGCACUUGCUCCCUGUCAGGUUUCAGAUUGAUUUUAAAAUUCUCAUGCUGACCUACAAGGCUUUGCAUGGUUUGGCCCCACAUUUUGUCACAACUGUUAACUGGUUAUCUUCCAAGUCGUGAUCUCUGCUCCUCUGAUUCUGGUCUUUUAGUGGUCCCCCUACUCAUUUGUGCUCUAUGGGUGAUCAGGCCUUCUAUUCUUGUGCACCAAAACUCUGGAAUUCACUUACCAUUGAGAUCAGACAGGCUAAGUCUUUUAGUGUUUUCAAAUCUGCUCUUGAACCCCACUUUUUCAGAAUAGCUUUAAAGUGAUUUCUUUGUGUCAUAUGUAUGGUGUUUAUUUUACUUUAUUUAUUAUUAUUAUUAUUAUUAUUAUUAUUAUUAU